UCUUUCUGUUCUAUUUUUUUUUUUUCCCUCAAUUGUGAGGAGAGAUCCAGUAACCAAUUGGCUUCAUCGCCACCAUUUUUCUGUGGGUCUCCACCAAGUAGGGCAUCAUAUCGUGUAAUUCAAGAUGAGCAAUUUGGCAACAAUAGCAAGAUGGCUCCAUUUUUUCCAGCACCGUCGUCUUCAUUGUCUGAGCGCAACGAAGGGUGUGUUCGAAUGAAAACGAACUACGCUGAUUCAACACAGAUCAAGCGAUUUCUAAACACCCCAGAACAUCAUCAGCAAUUGCUACGAAUUGGACUCAGAUGUCGAAGAGAGAUGGUUCUGGGUUAUGCUGGUGGGUGAGAUCGUUUUGAGAAGAAAUCCAGGAUGGAGCGCUCGGCACUGUGUUUCGUCGAUUGGAUCUGUGGUGGGGUUAAGCGAUAAGGAAGUCAGACUCGCGUGUUCAAAACAGCGAGCGUCCUAUUUUGCGAACCCAAUUUUGGGUUCACUAUAUUAGCUGUACGAGUCCGGGCCUUUUUUAACUAUUGUACUAUAUAUUCUCAUUUAAGAUAAUUUCCUCCCUUA